GGAGGGGUGCCGGAGCGGCCUAUCGGAAUCGCCUUGAAAGCGAUCGUGGGGAAACCCACCGGGGGUUCAAAUCCCUCCCCCUCUGCCA
rnacentral:tRNA from 2 species